AUAAUUGCGCCGCCUUGCAUUGUCUCUUAAGAUCGAUCGUUUAAAACCUACCUCUCAGGAGCAAGCUUUGCUUUGAUCUGAUUUCGUUUUCGCUUCUCUCAGUCAAUCUCAGGUACGGUAAAAAUGAUUCUGUCAACGAAGAAGAUGGAUAAAUAUUUUCAGUUAACGAUUGAAGAAUUGAAGAGUGCUCGUACAAAAAAAGUAGAUGCACUCUGGAAGAUGAUCAGCACUUCAUCAUCAUCAUCAUCAUCUAAUUUCCUGAGUGCAAGGAGGGAGAUUGCAAAGAGGAGGCGUGCAAAUAUGAAAGCCUUGAAGGGGGACCUUGAUGCUAUCACGCUUGAUAUGGGAAGCAGCAAGACCUCGUUGCUUGACUCUGCAGGAGAUUCGAAUGAGAAUGAGACUCAGGUUAACGAGACUCCCAUCUACUCUGGAGACCGCUGUGUUUAACGAUCUUGUGUAAUCCUGUUUAGACAUAUAUGGUUUAGAGAGAGUUGGGUGAACUGGAAUACGAAUAGUAUUGAUGUAGGCAUGUAGCUAUGAUCUUUUUAAGUCUUUCCAUUUUGAUGUGCCUAAAUAAAGUAAUAUUGAAUCAAA